UACGUAGGGGGCUAGCGUUGUCCGGAAUCAUUGGGCGUAAAGCGCGUGUAGGCGGCCCGGUAAGUCCGCUGUGAAAGUCGGGGGCUCAACCCUCGAAAGCCGGUGGAUACUGUCGGGCUCGAGUACGGAAGAGGCGAGUGGAAUUCCUGGUGUAGCGGUGAAAUGCGCAGAUAUCAGGAGGAACACCAAUGGCGAAGGCAGCUCGCUGGGACGUGACUGACGCUGAGACGCGAAAGCGUGGGGAGCAAACAGG
rnacentral:rRNA from 1 species